rnacentral:rRNA from 2 species
GAAACGGCUACCACAUCCAAGGAAGGCAGCAGGCGCGCAAAUUACCCACUCCCGGCACGGGGAGGUAGUGACGAAAAAUAACAAUACGGGACUCUUUUGAGACCCCGUAAUUGGAAUGAGUACACUCUAAAUCCUUUAACGAGGAUCUAUUGGAGGGCAAGUCUGGUGCCAGCAGCCGCGGUAAUUCCAGCUCCAAUAGCGUAUAUUAAAGUUGUUGCGGUUAAAAAGCUCGUAGUUGGAUCUCAGUUCCAGACGGGCGGUCCGCCUAACGGUGGUUACUGCCUGGCCUGAACAGCCAGCCGGUUUCCCUAGAUGAUCUUCACCGGUUGUCUUGGGUGACCGGCACGUUUACUUUGAAAAAAUUAGAGUGCUCAAAGCAGGCGUGUAGCCUGAAUAAUGGUGCAUGGAAUAAUGGAAUAGGACUUCGUUUCUAUUUUGUUGGUUUUCGGAACACGAGGUAAUGAUUAAGAGGGACAGACGGGGGCAUUCGUAUUGCGACGCUAGAGGUGAAAUUCUUGGACCGUCG